ACUUAUUCUCAGGGCGGGGUGAAAAUCCCCACCGGCGGUAUCUCAGUUUUACUGAGGAGCCCGCGAGCGCUCUUCUAUAGGAAGAGGUCAGCAGAACUGGUGAGAAGCCAGUGCCGACGGUAUAGUCCGGAUGAAAGAGAGUAAGG
rnacentral:ncRNA from 2 species